AUACUUACCUGGCACAGGAGAUACCGUGAUCACGAAGGCGGUUUUCCCAGGGCGAGGCUCACCAUUGCACUCCGGUGGCGCUGACCCCUGCGAUUAACCCAAAUGUGGUUAACUCGAGUGUGCAAUUUUUGGUAGCGGGGGACUGCGUUUGCGCUAUCCCCCU
rnacentral:snRNA from 1 species